GUGAGGGCGGGGGCGGGGGCAGGGCGGCGGCGACGCCGCGCGGGCGGCGGGCGGGUGUCGGGCGAGUCUGGGCGGCGUCGGGAGGGACCGGCGAGCGGGGAGGGGCGGAGGCGGGGGGGAGGGGGGAGGAGGAAGAGCGAAGGGUCCUGGCGGGGCUCCCGGCGCCCAGCCGCCCGGGCCCGAGCCCUCAAGCCACCGCCCCCAGGCCCCGCGCAGACGCUGGACGGUCCCCGCCUCCAAACCCCCCGCCCCGGCCAGAGAAUAACUUACCUGUUUGCCGACGGAAUCGCUCCUGCUAGCCCCUCUGACUGACUCCUCCGGCUCACCGUCUUCCCUCUGGGAGGAAGGGGAGGGACUUCCUGCCUCUUUUGAGCGACUUCCGGCGGCUCCCCGGACGACUCUGUCGUGGUCCGAGCACUGGACACCACGACCGAAAAACAGGAUCUCGGAACUGGCCUAGUAAAACCCACAUCGAAUUCCCUUUUCCUGCCCCGAGUGGCCAGCGGACCGUAUGCCGUCUUGUUUUUGUCCAUCAGCUCUUGGCAGAAGUCCCUCGGAGAUGAAACCGGAAGUCCCACCCCUCCCCAAGUGGAAAACGGAAAGCCGAAGGAGUCAACCGAAGGAAGGGGAGACGCGCGUCAGGCUGAGAGCCUGGCGGCGUGUGACCGGGAAGGCCACCUGGGACUUCCAGCGGCUCCCCGAGCGGGUAACCCCCGGGCGAUCCCGCCUCCUCCCUCUCCAUCUCUCCUCACUCCACCCCUUCGCCCGCCCGCGGUAAAGAACCUCGAGGGCGGUACGGGAGAAACGGACGCGCCCGGGCCGGGCGGGAGCCGGAGGCCUGCGGGGCGGGCGGCCGGCCUCCGCCUCCACCGGCCCGAGCGGUGCCCGGCGCCUCUGAGGCCUCCUCUAACGGAGCGAGGUUUUCCUGCUGUGCCAGGCGCGUGCGCACCUCCGGGUUAGGAGAACAGCCUCUGGGUGCUCCUAGCAGGGGUCCUCGGAGUCGCAGACCCUAGGAAGUCGCCAGCCGAAUUCUGAUCCUAACGGGGAGGCGAAAAGCUGAAUGGGGUUGUUCGCCAGUUGGCCACAAAGGCUGGAAACGCUUUGGGUGUUUACAACGUUCCUGCACGGACUGUUUUCAUAAACGUUAACGGCACAGCGUAAGGAUUGUUAGGAAGAAAGUGAGGCACGACCACCACCGGGUCGUGGCCGUCACCAGCCCCUCCCGCCCCUUACACGAGCACGAGCGUGGACUGUCUGAAAACUCUCAAUCUAGGAGGGAAGACCACCGCUUGAAAAGUGCAGUGACAAAGACAUUGUGUCUAGAGAUGGGCAGCAGUAUCCCACUGGGGGUCAGGUUGUGAAUCUAGGGCUUGCUAAGGAGUUUUGACUUUAUCUUGCGGCAUAGGGAAAUCUGUUAAAUAAUCAGAUUUGUACUUAGAAAGAUAACUUACAGUGGGACAAUCAUAACCUCAUAAUAAUGAUAGGCUUUCUAAACCAGAUCAUUUCUAAGGCCAAUUCCAGCUCAAUUCUAUUUUAAAAAAUCAGAAUAUUCGGGUGAUAACAUUUUUAAUACUGUUUUAUGCAGUAUUUUGCAUAGACGUUAUCUGGUUGAAUUCUCACUGUGAUUCACAUGAAUUCUCAUGUCUGUCAUCCACAGUAGGAAAUUGCAAUUUAGAAGAGUCAAAUAGCCAUUCCAAGAUCACACAGCUAGUAAAGGGGGACCUCGGCUUUAAACUCCAGAGUCAGCCUGUUCCAGCCCACCAGGCUGACUCCGUUUGGUGAUAGGUAAUGAAAAGUUCUAGAGAAGCACAUGGAAAACAGUUUCCUUAGAACACUUGACCAGCCUGUUAAUGUUGUAUUUAUUCCAUUAACCAACAUUUAGUGGGUGCCUGGUUAAGUAAAAGGUAAUAAAACUAGAUUCUGUCUUCGAAGAGUUCACUUGAAAUUUACUUAGAGUUUACUUGAAAAUGUAGUACUUAUUAACACAAUCUUUCAGGAUCUAUUUCAACAGUGCUGGUCUUGUAUGACAGGGUGACAAAUGUCUUGCAGACAGCAGCUAGCGCAGUUCUCCGUGUGGACUAAGCGUGUUGGUGGUCGGGUGAUUGAUCUUGCUACCUUUCUUACCUUGGGCGUUUAAUUUACAUUUCAUAUUCCUUUGAGCAGUGAAAUAAAAUCUGAGUUUAUUUUUUCAGUUCCAUCAUCCAUUAUUUUGCUGAAAGAGGACCUUUACAUCAUAAUGUGACAUUAAGGAAGUCAAUUUGACCUCAUUUUCCUCAUGUAUUAAAUGAGUUAUUUAGGAUGAGAAAAAUGAAGCUCAAAGAAGUGACGUAUUAUUCCCUAGUUCUGCCUGUACUGGCUAACUUUGGUGACUGUUUGCCUCUCUGAUGUCCCACGCUUACUCUCCCACACACACUGCUCCUGCUAAUCUGGCCCUGUGGCCAGGAUGUAGUCCCAGUAAAGAGACUCCCUGGCAAGAGGGAGAUGCUGCACAGACAAGGCGCCAGAACUUCACUCCCACAUCGUCUCCAUAUCAAAGCAGCAUUUUCAAACACACAGAGAAUGUUGAGAAACAUUGAAUAUGUCUGUUUGUCUCAUAUCAAAGAGGCCUAUCAGGAGUUACAGUUUAGUUAGCCUAAAUAUAAAACCUGUUUUAAUGAGAACUAUAUACAUUUUAUGUCUAAUUAGCCAAUUAAUUUGCUAUUCCUGCAUGAAAUUUACAAAACUUGCUAAGAGAAAAAUUUAGAAUGGAGAUGCCUAAUAGGAACUGAAUUAAACUAUCGUGGUUUAAACACAAAGUGGUCUGGGGUGGUGAACAUGAAGUAAUCUACACAGAAUUUGAAGUAUAUUACGAUGUACACCUGAAAUUUAUACAAUGUUAUAAACCAAUGCUACUGCAAUUAAAAAAAAUUUUUUUUUAAACAAAGUGUUACAGCUUUUUUAACUCUAUGAAUGCACCAGUCGGGAAAGACUAAGCAACGCUGUGUUAACAACCAUCCCAGAUCUCACCCAAGUCUAUUCCCACCUCAAGUCUAGCACGAUAUUGCUGGACACUGCACUCCCUGACACCCCCC
rnacentral:lncRNA from 1 species